UACGAGGGGGGCGAGCGUUGUUCGGAAUUAUUGGGCGUAAAGGGCGCGUAGGCGGUCGGAUAAGUCUUGUGUGAAAUCUUCGGGCUCAACUCGAAGUCUGCACAGGAAACUAUCUGGCUUGAGUGUGGGAGAGGUGAGUGGAAUUCCUGGUGUAGCGGUGAAAUGCGUAGAUAUCGGGAGGAACACCAGUGGCGAAGGCGGUUGCCUGGGGCUUUGCUGACGCUGAUGCGCGAAAGCGUGGGGAGCGAUCCGG
rnacentral:rRNA from 1 species